rnacentral:rRNA from 1 species
GACGAACGCUGGCGGCGCGCUUAACACAUGCAAGUCGAGCGAUGAAAUCUUAACAGAACCCUUCGGGGUGAAGAUAAGACGGAUUAGCGGCGGACGGGUGAGUAACACGUGAGUAACCUGCCUUUUACACAGGGAUAGCCUCAGGAAACCGGGAUUAAAACCUGAUGAAACUAUCAAAUCACAUGAUUAAGAAAGUUAAAACUCCGGUGGUAAAAGAUGGACUCGCGUCCCAUUAGCUAGUUGGUGAAGGUAACGGCCCACCAAGGCAACGAUGGGUAGCCGGCCUGAGAGGGUGAACGGCCACAUUGGAACUGAGAAACGGUCCAAACUCCUACGGGAAGCAGCAGUGGGGAAUAUUGCACAAUGGGGGAAACCCUGAUGCAGCGACGCCGCGUGAGCGAAGAAGGCCUUCGGGUCGUAAAGCUCUUUUAUAUGGGAAGAUAAUGACGGUACCAUAAGAAAAAGCCCCGGCUAACUACGUG